UGUGCUACCAUGCAGAGCUCUGCUUUGUAUU
rnacentral:piRNA from 1 species